GUGCUUCUGAGAGCAUUAUUGCACCACAUGUGUUUUUCUUUGAAACAAACUUGCUUUGGCGGUGGGCCCAGCCUGCCGCCAGAGGUCUAAACUUACAACCAAUUUUUUAUCAACUUGUCACACCAGAUUAUUACUAAUAGUCAAAACUUUCAACAACGGAUCUCUUGGUUCUCGCAUCGAUGAAGAACGCAGCGAAAUGCGAUACGUAAUAUGAAUUGCAGAUAUUCGUGAAUCAUCGAAUCUUUGAACGCACAUUGCGCCCUCUGGUAUUCCGGAGGGCAUGCCUGUUUGAGCGUCGUUUCUCCCUCAAACCGCUGGGUUUGGUGUUGAGCAAUACGACUUGGGUUUGCUUGAAAGACGGUAGUGGUAAGGCGGGAUCGCUUUGACAAUGGCUUAGGUCUAACCAAAAACAUUGCUUGCGGCGGUAACGUCUACCACGUAUAUCUUCAAACUUUGACCUCAAAUCAGGUAGGACUACCCGCUGAACUUAAGCAUAUCAAAAGCCGGGAGGAA
rnacentral:rRNA from 1 species